rnacentral:rRNA from 1 species
GACGGGGGGGGCAAGUGUUCUUCGGAAUGACUGGGCGUAAAGGGCACGUAGGCGGUGAAUCGGGUUGAAAGUGAAAGUCGCCAAAAAGUGGCGGAAUGCUCUCGAAACCAAUUCACUUGAGUGAGACAGAGGAGAGUGGAAUUUCGUGUGUAGGGGUGAAAUGCGCAGAUAUCAGGAGGAACACCAAUGGCGAAGGCAGCACUCUGGGACGUGACUGACGCUGAGACGCGAAAGCGUGGGGAGCAAACAGG